rnacentral:lncRNA from 1 species
AAAUUAUCAGUUAAUAUUAACCCGCGUAUUUUAAUUAAAUUCAACAACUUUGUCUAAUUACCGUCAAGGCAUGAUAGAGAAUAAAAUGGAAGUAAACGCUUAAUCUUUAAAUGGAAUAGAAGGAAAAUAACCUUGGUAGUCAUUCUUUUGUUUGAAUAUUUUAGGUUAAGAAAAGCAUGUAGGAUCAUGAUUUUGUGUAUGUGUGUAUAAGGUACUAUCCAGUAAGAGAGUGGCAUAUUCUUGUACGAAGCAAAGACACGAAGAUGAAGGAGGCAUGAGAGAACUUGGGAAGAGGACUAUUACUCCAAUGGAAAGAUUUCACAUUAUCACUUUGUUUGGGUAAUUUUUUUUUCAAAAACACUUAUAAUCGAAUAAAAUAAGAGUAUAAAAAUUGAGUUUUUCUUAUAAAUUAAAGUAAACUUAUGCACAUAAUUUUUACAAGAACUCUUUUAUCUAAUAGCUUAGGAGCAUAAGUUAUACAUAAUUCAUUUUAUCUUUUUAUUUUUCUCUCCUACAAAUACAUAAAGAGAAAUUUAUCAGAAUAACACCUUAUUUCAUAAUCUAUAUAAUUUAACUUGUGUUUUGAUUUCAUGGAUAAAUUAGAAGUAUCUCAACCGAAUGUAAAGAUUAGUCCCUAUUGAAAUCUUUAAUUAGAUAUUGAUCUUUCUGAACAAAUUAUUACUUUAUACGCAUAAACUUAAAUAUAUAAUUUCUAACCAAAUUAAUGAACAUAGUUAUCUUCCAACAAUACUUAUACAAAGGUUUUUUAGUUCUUAUUUAAUGUACACUUAGCAUACUUUGCAUACAACUAUCACUACUUACUCCGCCGUAACUAUCCUUUUAACUGCUUAGCUCAUUUGUUGGUUUUACCAUGCGCCUUCUCAACCGGUUUAAUGGCUCUAUCAACAGCUUGGGUGUGCAUCACAGGUGCAGAUAUUAAUGAAACUUGAUUCGCCAAUCAAGUUAGCAUAUUCAGAAUUUGGAAGGGCACAUCAGGCACGUGAUUUAUUUAGAGUGUCAUAAAAGAAGCCUUCGGGAUUAACAAAGCAACUUCUUUAAAAUUGCUCAUAAAGAACCUAUACAAAAAAUGUUCAUAAUUUUGACCGUAGUAGUACAAGUCAAGGAGAAAAGCAAAGAAUGUUUACUUCUGUUUUUGUUUUCUGAUUUCAUUUUUAAUUAGAAAAAAUGCCACAUUUUUUUGUAUCUGUUUUCAAUUUUCAUAAAUCUGUUUCCUUUAAACAAAGAAACUUGUUUUCAUUGUUUCCUAUACAAAUCUUUAAAAGCAGGAAACAAAUUGAAAACAAAAUGACAAUUUGGUAGUUACAAAUGAAAAAAGUAAAUAAAAACAAAAUGUUUUCUCAAGGUAAACAAACCCUUAACAACAUAUUCUUUUAAACACAUUCUACAAUUAAUUGAAACUUGUUGAGAACAAAAUUAUGUAAAUCUCACUCC